CCUACGGGAGACAGCAGUGAGGAAUAUUGGUCAAUGGGCGGGAGCCUGAACCAGCCAAGUCGCGUGAGGGAAGACGGUCCUAUGGAUUGUAAACCUCGUUAGGCGGGGAGCAAUGCCGGGCACGCGUGCCCGGAGGGAGAGGACCCGCAGAAUAAGCAUCGGCGAACUCCGGGCCAGCAGCCGCGGUAAUACGGAGGAUGCGAGCGUUAUCCGGAUUUAUUGGGUUUAAAGGGUGCGUAGGCGGAUUUUUAAGUCAGCGGUAAAAUGUCCGGGCUCAACCUCGGCACUACUACCCAAACUGUCGGACUUGAGUGCCGGCGGGGCAACUGGACUUCCUAGUGUAGCGGUUGAAUGCGUAGAUAUUAGGAGGAACACCAGUGGCGAAGGCGAUUUGCUGGACUGUAACUGACACUGAGGCACGAAACCGUGGGGAGCAAACAGGAUUAGAUACCCUGGUAGUC
rnacentral:rRNA from 1 species